rfam:Oryza rufipogon genomic scaffold, chr04
GAAGACUCCAUUUUUCAGAUUUUGGAUUCAACGCUUGACUCUUUGUCUUAUUUAAAAGUUUUAUAUGAUUAAUAUUUUUAUUGUUAUUAGAUGAUAAAACAUGAAUAAUACUUUAUGCGUCACUAUGUUUUCAAAAUAAAUUUCAUAAAUUUUUCAUAUGGGAUGAACGGUUAAUUUAAACGUUGGACAUAAAAAUCCAAAAAUGAAGUUAUC